ACUCCUACGGGAGGCAGCAGUGGGGAAUAUUGCACAAUGGGCACAAGCCUGAUGCAGCCAUGCCGCGUGUAUGAAGAAGGCCUUCGGGUUGUAAAGUACUUUCAGCGGGGAGGAAGGCGAUAAGGUUAAUAACCUUGUCGAUUGACGUUACCCGCAGAAGAAGCACCGGCUAACUCCGUGCCAGCAGCCGCGGUAAUACGGAGGGUGCAAGCGUUAAUCGGAAUUACUGGGCGUAAAGCGCACGCAGGCGGUCUGUCAAGUCGGAUGUGAAAUCCCCGGGCUCAACCUGGGAACUGCAUUCGAAACUGGCAGGCUAGAGUCUUGUAGAGGGGGGUAGAAUUCCAGGUGUAGCGGUGAAAUGCGUAGAGAUCUGGAGGAAUACCGGUGGCGAAGGCGGCCCCCUGGACAAAGACUGACGCUCAGGUGCGAAAGCGUGGGGAGCAAACAGGAUUAGAUACCCCGGUAGUCCCAUGA
rnacentral:rRNA from 1 species